CUGCCGGCGACCGGCGCACGGGUGAGUAACACGUAUGCAACCUGCCCUCCGCAGGGGGAUAACCCGGAGAAAUCCGGACUAAUACCGCGUGGUACAUCUGUGGGGCAUCCCACGGGUGUUAAAAGGAAGCGAUUCCGGCGGGGGAUGGGCAUGCGGCGCAUUAGCUAGUUGGCGGGGUAACGGCCCACCAAGGCGACGAUGCGUAGGGGUUCUGAGAGGAAGGUCCCCCACACUGGUACUGAGACACGGACCAGACUCCUACGGGAGGCAGCAG
rnacentral:rRNA from 1 species